CCUACGGGGGGCUGCAGUGGGGAAUAUUGCACAAUGGGGGAAACCCUGAUGCAGCGACGCCGCGUGAGUGAAGAAGUAUUUCGGUAUGUAAAGCUCUAUCAGCAGGGAAGAGGAUGACGGUACCUGAGUACGAAGCCCCGGCUAACUACGUGCCAGCAGCCGCGGUAAUACGUCGGGGGCAAGCGUUAUCCGGAUUUACUGGGGGUAAAGGGAGCGUAGACGGCGAAGAAAGUCUGAAGUGAAAGCCCGCGGCUCAACCGCGGAACUGCUUUGGACACUUUUUUGCUGGAGUACCGGAGAGGGAAGCGGAAUUCCUAGUGUAGCGGUGAAAGGCGUAGAGAUUAGGAGGAACACCAGGGGCGAAGGCGGCUUACUGGACGGUAACUGACGUGGAGGCGCGAAAGCGUGGGGAGCAAACAGGAUUAGAUACCCGAGUAGUC
rnacentral:rRNA from 1 species